rfam:Bacteroidetes bacterium GWE2_29_8 gwe2_scaffold_759, whole genome shotgun sequence.
AUAGCGAAUUGCCGAAAAGCUGAGAAAGAGUAGGCG